rnacentral:rRNA from 1 species
AGACGAUCAUAUGAUUUCCUCAUACCCAUAUAUGAUGACAUCCAUAUAUAACAUGAUAUGCAUAUCGGCGGGAUAGGGAUCAUCCGAUGACCCAUCCCGGCCAUCCCGCCCCCGGGCGGGAUCGGCGCCCGCCGGAGGAUAAACAAACUCUGAUUUAACGACGUUUCUUCUGAGUGGUACAAGCAAAUAAUCAAAACUUUUAACAACGGAUCUCUUGGUUCUGGCAUCGAUGAAGAACGCACGAAAUGCGAUAAGUAAUGUGAAUUGCAGAAUUCAGUGAAUCAUCGAAUCUUUGAACGCACAUUGCGCCCGCCAGCAUUCUGGCGGGCAUGCCUGUUCAGCGUCAUUUCAACCCUCAGCUCUGCUUGGUGUUGGGGCCCUACAUGAUGUAGCCCUCAAGAAAGACGGACCCUCCGACCUCCUAUGCUAUACUUUCACAGAUCCAAGACACAUGCAAAACCCAUACCCAGAUGACUCGAUCGGAGAAACCCUAACAUAACC